rnacentral:rRNA from 1 species
AGUGAACGCUGGCGGCGUGCUUAACACAUGCAAGUCGAGCGAAUUCUAACAGUGUAUCGUUAGAGUUAGCGGCAGACGGGUGAGUAAUUCUUGGGCAAUCUGCCCUCGAGAGGGAAACAACCUGCCGAAAGGUAGGCUAAUGUUCCAUAAGACCACGGGGUCGCAUGAUCCAGAGGUCAAAGCUCCGCAAGGGGCACUUGAGGAGGAGCCCGAGACCUAUCANGGUAGUUGGUGAGGUAACGGCUCACCAAGCCUUUGACGGGUAGCCGGCCUGAAAGGGUGAUCGGCCACACUGGCACUGAGACACGGGCCAGACUCCUACGGGAGGCAGCAGUGGGGAAUUUUGGACAAUGGGGGCAACCCUGAUCCAGCGACGCCGCGUGGAGGAUGAAGGUCUUCGGA